rnacentral:tRNA from 1 species
GGAUUGUGGCUCAGUGGUACAGUGCUUGCCUAGCAUGCAUGAGGCACUGGGUUCGAUCCCUGGCACCA